AUGAAGGUUCUAUGUUGGCAAAAAUCUAUCCAUGGAUCUUGAAAGAAGCAUGGAGUGUUAUAAGUGUGAAGAGGGUUUAUUUGUUGUUUCACCCCUCACACUCAUAAAACUCCAAAAACAGUUUGCUUUGGCUUAAGCUAUGUUAUUAGUUUUUCUAUGAUCACUAAAGGGGGGAAGAAGAAGAAGAAGAAGAUGAUGAUAAAGUCAUUCAUUCAUUCUUCUCCUUGAUAGAGGAUCAUAUAGACAAGCUAUGGCGGCGAAAGCUCCGGCGAACCGGCAAGUCACAAGAAGGCAAUGGAUUCCAUUAUGGUCCCUUUUAUAUGGCUCUAUAUAUAUCUAUGUUAUCUUAUAA
rnacentral:lncRNA from 1 species